CCUACGGGAGGCUGCAGUGGGGAAUAUUGCACAAUGGGCGCAAGCCUGAUGCAGCCAUGCCGCGUGUGUGAAGAAGGCCUUCGGGUUGUAAAGCACUUUCAGCGGGGAGGAAGGCGUUAAGGUUAAUAGCCUUGUCGAUUGACGUUACCCGCAGAAGAAGCACCGGCUAACUCCGUGCCAGCAGCCGCGGUAAUACGGAGGGUGCAAGCGUUAAUCGGAAUUACUGGGCGUAAAGCGCACGCAGGCGGUCUGUCAAGUCGGAUGUGAAAUCCCCGGGCUCAACCUGGGAACUGCAUUCGAAACUGGCAGGCUAGAGUCUUGUAGAGGGGGGUAGAAUUCCAGGUGUAGCGGUGAAAUGCGUAGAGAUCUGGAGGAAUACCGGUGGCGAAGGCGGCCCCCUGGACAAAGACUGACGCUCAGGCGCGAAAGCGUGGGGAGCAAACAGGAUUAGAUACCCUAGUAGUC
rnacentral:rRNA from 1 species